AUUUUGCAUAAGCUAAUUUAGGAACCUUUGAAUGGUAGUAUUAAAAAAGUAAUACUAAUAAUAAACCCAUUAAGUGAGUCAGUGCAUUUUUUUUUAUAUUAUUUUCUUUCUCUCAUACUAUAAAGCUAUGUGUGUUAGGGUUAUCACACUUAUCAGUUUUCAGAGUGAGUGUGAAACUGAAACUCCCACCCAAAAAAAAAAAAAAAAAGAGUGAAAGAAAUGAAAAGGGUUUUGUGUGUUGAGGGGAAUGUUGGCUGGCUCGAAGCUUUUCACAAUGAGGUUCUAAUGAAAUAAUGAACUCUUAAGGCUUCGGACCAGGCUUCAUUCCCCUCAACCUUUUCAAGUAUGUAUCUAUCUUUGCAGCUUCUUCAAGAUUUGCUUAUAUAAUUGUUGGUGAAUAAUAUUUCAUGUGAAGGUUAGGUUGAGAGGAAUGUUGUCUGGCUCGAGGUCAUGGAGCUAGGUUGAUUUUUUAUGAUUUUUUUUCCGGGGUAAUUUAACUAUAGUAUGUAGUACCGGAAAAAAAAAUUCAUAAUUUGAAACCCUAAAUGAUUCUCGGACCAGGCUUCAUUCCCCCCAACCAACACUUGCUACAACCAUUUUGAUUUUCUCCUACUAAAUUAAAGUGAGACCGGUCACUUUUCUGGUAAGGCUUUCUUUGAUUCCUCAUAUAGAUUUGUAUAUGUGUGCAGAGCAGGUUAGAAACCUUAGUAUCCUUCUUUUACUUUCAUGUUUUCCAUAGAUUUUACUAUAUAUAUAAUAUAUGUAUGAAUAUAUUAUAUGUUUUUACUAAUGGUCUUUGAGUUGUUUCCUUAGAUUCUUUCUUUUAAACUUCAAAAUUGUUUAGAGAUUUGUAACUCAAGCGACCCUCUUUACGGUUUUCAACGGAGACCUGCAGGUUUAAUUCUCAGCUCAUCUGUCUUUGUCCAAGGUACAAGGAUAUGACCUAGAUGCAAGGAACUUCUUCCUUUUCCAACAGUAUUACAUAAGAUCUUAAUUUGAUGGAAGCAGUGGAGAAGUGUGAGUCUGUAAAUUAUAAAUCCUUCCAACGAAAUAUAGUAAUAGUGUUCCUUUGGAUGAGCAGUAUGGUGCAAUAAAGCUGUUGAUUCAGUUUAUUUAAUUCCUGUACAACAGUUUUGAAGUUCAUAUAUUUUUAGUUCAGCUAUAAGUUUAUCA